rnacentral:tRNA from 1 species
ACCUGGGUGGCUCAGUCGCUUGGGCAUCUGACUUUGGCUCAGGUCAUGACCUCAUGUUCGUGGGUUCAAGCCCCGCAUCAGGCU